rnacentral:rRNA from 1 species
UACAGAGACUGCGAGCGUUAUUCGGAUUCACUGGGCGUAAAGGGCGCGUAGGCGGCCCGCUAAGUCGAACGUGAAAUCCCCGAGCUCAACUCGGGAACUGCGUCCGAUACUGGUGGGCUUGAAUCCGGGAGAGGGAUGCGGAAUUCCAGGUGUAGCGGUGAAAUGCGUAGAUAUCUGGAGGAACACCGGUGGCGAAGGCGGCAUCCUGGACCGGCAUUGACGCUGAGGCGCGAAAGCGUGGGGAGCGAACAGG